CCUACGGGGUGCAGCAGUGAGGAAUAUUGGUCAAUGGACGCAAGUCUGAACCAGCCAUGCCGCGUGCAGGAAGACGGCUCUAUGAGUUGUAAACUGCUUUUGUACGAGGGUAAACGCAUAUACGCGUAUCUGUCUGAAAGUAUCGUACGAAUAAGGAUUGGCUAACUCCGUUCCAGCCGCCGCGGUAAUACGGAGGAUUCAAGCGUUAUCCGGAUUUAUUGGGUUUAAAGGAUGCGUAGGCGGUCGGAUAAGUUAGAGGUGAAAUCUCGAGGCUCAACUUCGGAAUUGCCUCUGAUACUGUUCGGCUAGAGAGUAGUUGCGGUAGGCGGAAUGUAUGGUGUAGCGGUGAAAUGCUUAGAGAUCAUACAGAACACCGAUUGCGAAGGCAGCUUACCAAGCUACUUCUGACGUUGAGGCACGAAAGCGUGGGGAGCAAACAGGAUUAGAUACCCUGGUAGUC
rnacentral:rRNA from 1 species